CGGCGGCCGUUCGAACGGGUCCGGGAGCGAUCCUGGGGCGGGAUGGGGGCCGGGGCAGGGAUUCGGGGAUCGCAUCCCACGGCAGUCGCAGGUGUUCGGUCCCCUCGGAGUCGGGAGAACAGGCUGCACCUGUCCCCAUCUGAGCGGCGGCCGGCGGCGGGGAGGGACGCAGUAACCCGCGGCUCCAGCGGCGAAGGGGCGGGCUGGUGAGGGAGGCGCUCGUAGGUGCCUCAGACAGGUGUGCCGGGCCUUUGAAGCCCGGGAACAAAGGGAGACCGACCCGACAAGAAAUGGGAAGAGGGGAGGAUGGCACACACAAAAGUGAGAGCUGGUUAAGAGAUACCUGAGGAGUAUAAGAUUCCAAAAAAAAAAAAAAAGGAAGAAUUAACCAAAUCUAUUGGACUUUCCUACAAAACCUGAAAAGAUUUUGUGAUCUUUGCGGAAGAUUGUGAUAUUUAAUUGUUAACACAUACUUGUAGCAAUCCUUUGUAUGUGGGGUAUUUCAUUUCAGUGUCUAUCUGUGCACUGGAAACCUGAAAUGGAAUUGAACCUAUCAGUCACAAGGUGCACAAGAAUGCUUACUUUUUUCUGAGUUGUUUGUUUGUUUGUUUGUUUUCCAGUCUCCAGAGCAGGAUGUGUAUACCAGAAUUCACUGUUGCUGUUAUGUCCAUAAGAUAACUUCUAAAUUUUAAUAUGGUUUAACUUCAGUAAUUUUUCUUGGUUUUAUCCAGUCUAGGAAAUUGUUUCUUAAUAACUCCUUCCCAAGCUGAAACACUUACAGUAUACCAGAAUCUUCAGGA